UUCCUUAAACAAGAAGUCUCGGGAGGACAUACUAUUUUUAAGAAUUUAAAAAAACUUCCAACUCAAGUGUGUCCAUCCUAUUAAUUUGCUUACUGUUGAAUAAUCCACAAAAAGGCCAUUAAAGGAAAUCCACCAUUCCAUGUCUUCGAGCGUUGAUUGUUUCACUCAUCGUUGGUAAUAAUUUGCACCAUAUAAAUUCUACUUGGGUUGCGCAAUAACAGUGUCCAUGAUCAAGUGUUAGCAAAAUUUGGUCAGUUUUCCAAAGUGGAAUUUUUUUCAUUAAGACACAGUGUUUCCUGCACAAAAUCUGUAUAGAUUAUGUGUCCAAACUGAUGCAACUAUGAAACAUGUCUAUGCUUCGUACGAAAAGUACAACAUUAAAAAUUGUAAGACAGGUACGGGUAAACACCUUAGGGGAAACUGUUAAUAGUGCAUGCAAGUGAGUUACGCCUUGAACAAAGAAACACCCAAGGUCGUGGACAAAUUUGUCUUCUUUUUUGUUUGUAUUUAAGCAUGUUCGAACAAUAAGUAAAUUUAGUAUUAGCAAUGUAAAAAUCAUUAAUUUUCAAAAAUGUAUUUGUUUUAUUAUUGUUAUUAUUACAGUUAUUAUUUUGUUUACGUAUUUUUCUAAUUUAGUUUACUAUUGUUUAUCGUUGCACUAUAAUUGCGAACUUUCUUGUUCGACGACAAAGUGUACUGUUAUUUUAUUUGAUAUGUUGUUACCAAGACUUGUUAACACUGCAGUUUUGUACAGAAACUUUGACGUAUUGAAGAACUAUAACUAUGAAAUGUUAACAAGUUAAGAUGGCGAUGGAAGAAGUGCUUUCCACUUACUUUACUCCUAGGGACGAAGACAUUAGCGCCUAAAUGUAGCGAGGUCCAAAAUAAGAAAUAUUUUUUCGUAUUUUGUUUUUGUCUUGGAUAAAAAACUCACUUCUUCGAAAAGCAACCCUAGUGAGAAGUACACUAUCGAUGAUGGCGACGAAAUUUUUGAAUGGAAAUUAGAAACAAGAGAUUAUUUAACUGGAGUGGUUUACUUAUUGAAUAAAUGUGGCACUUCAGAGCCGGAUGGGCUAUUUUAAAUGACUCCUUUGUCGUAUGCCAGAGUUAGUGAAAGUUUAGGAGCGGAACUGGAAUUGUUGCAGUCAGGAAUGUUGCAACCAGAGCAGGAAUACAAUCAAUGUGAUAGAAUUAAGUCUGUAUGGUUAUGACAUGACAAUGCGAUUCAAAUGGUUGUUACUAAGCAAUUACCAACUUUUUGCCAGGAGGUAAACUUUAGUACUAUAUCUGGUUGCACCCCUCUUGCUCUAACGUCGUCAAGAGGGCACACCAGCAGUCGCUCAGUUUUUGUUACAAUGCCAAGCCGAAGUCAAUCACCCUGAUAAACAUGGUCAAACCCCACUUCACUCAGCUUGUUCCAACGACCACGAAUAGACUGUCAAAUGCUUAAUUAAGUUCGGAGCUGCACUCAAUCACCCUGAUAUUGUCGGCUGUACACCACUUUACGUAGCUUGUUUGAAU